rnacentral:piRNA from 1 species
GAGGUUCUAAGCAUCCUCUGGGGG